CGGGUAAGUAACGCGUGGGCAACCUGCCCUGUACAGGGGGAUACCAUCUGGAAACAGAUGCUAAUACCGCAUAACCGCAUCAGCCCGCAUGGGCAGAUGCGGAAAGGGAGAAAUCCCGGUACAGGAUGGACCCGCGUCUGAUUAGCCAGUUGGCAGGGUAACGGCCUACCAAAGCGACGAUCAGUAGCCGGCCUGAGAGGGUGGACGGCCACAUUGGGACUGAGACACGGCCCAGACUCCUACGGGAGGCAGCAG
rnacentral:rRNA from 1 species